rnacentral:lncRNA from 1 species
GAGGGCUGGAAUCAGCUGAAAUUCACUCUCUCACGUCUGACAGCAAGGCUGCUGUGUGCUGAGACCGUCGCUGGGGCUGACAGCCGCUUUAUGUGUUCUCUUCACAUAAGCCAGCUUGAGCUUCUUGAAAACAUGAUGGAUAGCUUUCCAAGAAGAUCAAACUCUCCCAAAAAGUAGAGAUUAAACAACAACUAAAGAUGGCGAAUCAUAGAAGAGAACAAUAGAGUGAAGAAAAAGGAUGUUUAAGCCUAAAUCCAAGACUGAGGUACAAGACCAAGAAAAGUGGGGCAGAAGAUGGAAAAGAACAAGUGAAGAAUCUUGGAAACAAUUCAAAGGCCAACCCUGCUUAUUCCUGUAAACCAACCAGUGAUCUCUGGCUGCUGCUUAGAAGAAACAAGAGGGAUGGCUAAUUAAACAGGUUGAAGUAAAGGAGCCAGCCCAAACCCACCAAAACCAAAAUGGUGACGAGAGUGACAUCUGGUCGUCCUCACUGCUACACUCCCACCAGCACCACGACAGUUUACAAAUUCUAUGACAAUGUCAGGAAGUUACCCUAUGUGGUCUAAAAAGAGGAGGCAUGAAUAAUCCACCCCUUGUUUAGCAUAUCAUCAAGAAAUAACCAUAAAAAUAGGCAAUCUGCAGCCCCCAGGCUGCUCUGUCUAUGGAGUAGCUGUUCUUUUUUUCUUUUACUUUCUUAAUAAACUUCCUUUCACUUUGC